UGUAGCUUGACAUUGGGUCUUGGUACUACAUGUACAGGAUAGGUGGGAGGCUUUGAAACCAGGACGCCAGUUUUGGCGGAGCCAUCCUUGGGAUACCACCCUUGUAGUACUGGGACUCUAACCAUAGGCCAUGAAUCUGGGCGUGGGACACUGUCAGGUGGGCAGUUUGACUGGGGCGGUCGCCUCCCAAAAGGUAACGGAGGCGCUCAAAGGUUCUCUCAGUACGGUCGGAAAGCGUACGUAGAGUGUAAAGGCAAAAGAGAGCUUGAUUGCAAGACAUACAGGUCGAGCAAGGAUGAAAAUCGGACUUAGUGAUCCGGUGGUUCUGCGUGGAAGGGCCAUCGCUCAACGGAUAAAAGCUACCC
rnacentral:rRNA from 1 species